rnacentral:rRNA from 1 species
CCUACGGGAGGCUGCAGUGGGGAAUAUUGCACAAUGGGCGCAAGCCUGAUGCAGCCAUGCCGCGUGUGUGAAGAAGGCCUUCGGGUUGUAAAGCACUUUCAGCGGGGAGGAAGGCGUUAAGGUUAAUAACCUUGGCGAUUGACGUUACCCGCAGAAGAAGCACCGGCUAACUCCGUGCCAGCAGCCGCGGUAAUACGGAGGGUGCAAGCGUUAAUCGGAAUUACUGGGCGUAAAGCGCACGCAGGCGGUCUGUCUAGUCGGAUGUGAAAUCCCCGGGCUCAACCUGGGAACUGCAUUCGAAACUGGCAGGCUAGAGUCUUGUAGAGGGGGGUAGAAUUCCAGGUGUAGCGGUGAAAUGCGUAGAGAUCUGGAGGAAUACCGGUGGCGAAGGCGGCCCCCUGGACAAAGACUGACGCUCAGGUGCGAAAGCGAGGGGAGCAAACAGGAUUAGAUACCCGAGUAGUC